rfam:Culex pipiens quinquefasciatus supercont3.223 genomic scaffold, whole genome shotgun sequence.
GGGACCGUGGCGUAGGGACAAGUGUGGUUGUCUCUCACCCAGUCGGCUUGGGUUCGAUCCCAGACGGUCCCG